AUGGAGGAGAACGAAUUGUAGAAAAGAACUUAAUACGCAUCAACCAUGGAGCUUUUGUGUCGUUGCUUUCUGUGCGUGAAUUUUGGUGUAUUUUACAAUUCUUCUUGUGAUCUGCCAAGAGGGAGAAAAUUACAGUGUUA